UACGAAGGUCCCAAGCGUUAUCCGGAUUUAUUGGGUUUAAAGGGUGCGUAGGCGGCUUAUUAAGUCAGUGGUGAAAGCCCCAAGCUUAACUUGGGAAUUGCCAUUGAUACUGAUGAGCUUGAGUAGAUUUGAAGCGGGCGGAAUGUGUCGUGUAGCGGUGAAAUGCUUAGAUAUGACACAGAACACCGAUUGCGUAGGCAGCUCGCUAAACUCUUACUGACGCUGAGGCACGAAAGCAUGGGGAU
rnacentral:rRNA from 1 species